rnacentral:rRNA from 1 species
GGGUUGUGAGGUUAAGCGACUAAGCGUACACGGUGGAUGCCCUGGCAGUCAGAGGCGAUGAAGGACGUGCUAAUCUGCGAAAAGCGUCGGUAAGGUGAUAUGAACCGUUAUAACCGGCGAUGUCCGAAUGGGGAAACCCAGUGCAAUUCGUUGCACUAUCGUUAACUGAAUACAUAGGUUAACGAGGCGAACCGGGGGAACUGAAACAUCUAAGUACCCCGAGGAAAAGAAAUCAACCGAGAUUCCCCCAGUAGCGGCGAGCGAACGGGGAGCAGCCCAGAGUCUGAAUCAGCUUGUGUGUUAGUGGAACGGUCUGGAAAGUCCGACGGUACAGGGUGAUAGUCCCGUACACCAAAAUGCACAGGCUGUGAACUCGAAGAGUAGGGCGGGACACGUGGUAUCCUGUCUGAAUAUGGGGGGACCAUCCUCCAAGGCUAAAUACUCCUGACUGACCGAUAGUGAACCAGUACCGUGAGGGAAAGGCGAAAAGAACCCCGGCGAGGGGAGUGAAAAAGAACCUGAAACCGUGUACGUACAAGCAGUGGGAGCACCUUCGGGUGUGACUGCGUACCUUUUGUAUAAUGGGUCAGCGACUUAUAUUCUGUAGCAAGGUUAACCGUAUAGGGGAGCCGCAGGGAAACCGAGUCUUAACUGGGCGUUAAGUUGCAGGGUAUAGACCCGAAACCCGGUGAUCUAGCCAUGGGCAGGUUGAAGGUUGGGUAACACUAACUGGAGGACCGAACCGACUAAUGUUGAAAAAUUAGCGGAUGACUUGUGGCUGGGGGUGAAAGGCCAAUCAAACCGGGAGAUAGCUGGUUCUCCCCGAAAGCUAUUUAGGUAGCGCCUCGUGAACUCAUCUUCGGGGGUAGAGCACUGUUUCGGCUAGGGGGUCAUCCCGACUUACCAACCCGAUGCAAACUACGAAUACCGAAGAAUGUUAUCACGGGAGACACACGGCGGGUGCUAACGUCCGUCGUGAAGAGGGAAACAACCCAGACCGCCAGCUAAGGUCCCAAAGUCAUGGUUAAGUGGGAAACGAUGUGGGAAGGCACAGACAGCCAGGAUGUUGGCUUAGAAGCAGCCAUCAUUUAAAGAAAGCGUAAUAGCUCACUGGUCGAGUCGGCCUGCGCGGAAGAUGUAACGGGGCUAAACCAUGCACCGAAGCUGCGGCAGCGACACUAUGUGUUGUUGGGUAGGGGAGCGUUCUGUAAGCCUGCGAAGGUGUGCUGUGAGGCAUGCUGGAGGUAUCAGAAGUGCGAAUGCUGACAUAAGUAACGAUAAAGCGGGUGAAAAGCCCGCUCGCCGGAAGACCAAGGGUUCCUGUCCAACGUUAAUCGGGGCAGGGUGAGUCGACCCCUAAGGCGAGGCCGAAAGGCGUAGUCGAUGGGAAACAGGUUAAUAUUCCUGUACUUGGUGUUACUGCGAAGGGGGGACGGAGAAGGCUAUGUUAGCCGGGCGACGGUUGUCCCGGUUUAAGCAUGUAGGCUGGUUGUCCAGGCAAAUCCGGAUAAUCAAGGCUGAGGUGUGAUGACGAGGCACUACGGUGCUGAAGUAACAAAUGCCCUGCUUCCAGGAAAAGCCUCUAAGCAUCAGGUAACAUUAAAUCGUACCCCAAACCGACACAGGUGGUCAGGUAGAGAAUACCAAGGCGCUUGAGAGAACUCGGGUGAAGGAACUAGGCAAAAUGGUGCCGUAACUUCGGGAGAAGGCACGCUGGUGUGUAGGUGAAGCCCCUGCGGGUGGAGCUGAGACCAGUCGAAGAUACCAGCUGGCUGCAACUGUUUAUUAAAAACACAGCACUGUGCAAACACGAAAGUGGACGUAUACGGUGUGACGCCUGCCCGGUGCCGGAAGGUUAAUUGAUGGGGUUAUCCGUAAGGAGAAGCUCUUGAUCGAAGCCCCGGUAAACGGCGGCCGUAACUAUAACGGUCCUAAGGUAGCGAAAUUCCUUGUCGGGUAAGUUCCGACCUGCACGAAUGGCGUAAUGAUGGCCAGGCUGUCUCCACCCGAGACUCAGUGAAAUUGAACUCGCUGUGAAGAUGCAGUGUACCCGCGGCAAGACGGAAAGACCCCGUGAACCUUUACUAUAGCUUGACACUGAACAUUGAGCCUUGAUGUGUAGGAUAGGUGGGAGGCUUUGAAGCGUGGACGCCAGUCUGCGUGGAGCCAACCUUGAAAUACCACCCUUUAAUGUUUGAUGUUCUAACGUUGGCCCCUGACCGGGGUUGCGGACAGUGUCUGGUGGGUAGUUUGACUGGGGCGGUCUCCUCCCAAAGCGUAACGGAGGAGCACGAAGGUUAGCUAAUCCUGGUCGGACAUCAGGAGGUUAGUGCAAUGGCAUAAGCUAGCUUGACUGCGAGCGUGACGGCGCGAGCAGGUGCGAAAGCAGGUCAUAGUGAUCCGGUGGUUCUGAAUGGAAGGGCCAUCGCUCAACGGAUAAAAGGUACUCCGGGGAUAACAGGCUGAUACCGCCCAAGAGUUCAUAUCGACGGCGGUGUUUGGCACCUCGAUGUCGGCUCAUCACAUCCUGGGGCUGAAGUAGGUCCCAAGGGUAUGGCUGUUCGCCAUUUAAAGUGGUACGCGAGCUGGGUUUAGAACGUCGUGAGACAGUUCGGUCCCUAUCUGCCGUGGGCGCUGGAGAAUUGAGGGGGGCUGCUCCUAGUACGAGAGGACCGGAGUGGACGCAUCACUGGUGUUCGGGUUGUCAUGCCAAUGGCACUGCCCGGUAGCUAAAUGCGGAAGAGAUAAGUGCUGAAAGCAUCUAAGCACGAAACUUGCCCCGAGAUGAGUUCUCCCUGAGACUAUAAGUCUCCUGAAGGAACGUUAAAGACGAUGACGUUGAUAGGCCGGGUGUGUAAGCGCAGCGAUGCGUUGAGCUAACCGGUACUAAUGAACCGUGAGGCUUAACCUUACAACGCCGAAG